rnacentral:rRNA from 1 species
AAUUUGACCGUGCAAAGGUAGCAUAAUCAUUAGCUUUUUAAUUGAAAGCUGGAAUGAACGGCUAGAUGAGAAAUAAACUGUCUAUCUUCACUAUAUAAAAAUUAACUUUUAAGUGAAAAGGCUUAAAUUUUUUGAAGGGACGAUAAGACCCUAUAAAACUUUAUAUUUAUUUUCUAUUAAACACUAAACUUAUGUUUAAAUUUUUUAUUAGGAUAAAUAUUUUGUUGGGGAGACAAAGAUAUAUUUGUAACUGUCUGUUUAAAUUUUAUAUUUAUAGAUAUUUUAUUUGAGCCUUUAUUAAGGAUUAUAAGAGUAAGUUACUUUAGGGAUAACAGCGUAAUUUUUUUUGAGAGUUCUUAUCGACGAAAAUAGUUGCGACCUCGAUGUUGAAUUAAGAUUUCAGAAAGGUGU